rnacentral:tRNA from 1 species
GUUCCGGUAACUCAGCUGGAUAGAGUAACGCCCUUCUAAGGCGUAAGUCGUGCGUUCGAAUCGCACCCGGAACACCA